rnacentral:rRNA from 1 species
CGCUGGCGGCGUGCUUUAAUACAUGCAAGUCAACUGAACUUUAGGUAGCAAUAUUUAAAGGGAGGUGCGCACGGGUGAGUAACACGUAGGUAAUCUGCCUUCAGGACUGACAUAACUCCGCGAAAGCGGGACUAAAAUCAGAUGAUGCAGCGGCUCGACAUCGAGACAGUUGUUAAACCUUCGGGGCCUGAAGAUGAGCCUGCGUCUGAUUAGGUAGUUGGAGGGGGUAAUGGCCCACCAAGCCUGCGAUCAGUAGCUGGUCUGAGAGGAUGAUCAGCCACACUGGAACUGAGACACGGUCCAGACUCCUACGGGAGGCAGCAGUAAGGAAUAUUGCUCAAUGGCCGAAAGGCUGAAGCAGCAACGCCGCGUGGAGGAUGAAAUACUUUAGUAUGUAAACUCCUGUAAGAGGGGAAAAAUAUACAGUUCUGCUGUAUUGAUUGUACCCUCAGAGUAAGCACCGGCUAACUACGUG